rnacentral:lncRNA from 1 species
UUUCGAGUGCAUAAAACAUGGCGAAGGUUUCAAGCCUUCGUAUUGCUGCCGCUGUGGCCGCGCUUGCAUUUCUCUUGUCUAUGAUGCCAGAGGGGAUAAUCUGUGAAGAUGCAGAACCUAUACGUUUUGGUCUCUCGCUUCCUAAACUUCCUAAACUUCCCGUACAUAAGGGUCCAUCGACCGUUGUGUCACCCCGAAAGCCUUCUGUUGGAGACGCAAUAUCUGGUAUAUCUGAUAUCGUCAUGGAAGUUUUUGAUGCUGUGGGUUUCUCUAAGUAAGCUUCUUGCUGAAACUGUGGCAUGGUUGCCACGACGGUGCGAAGAAUUAGCAAUAAAAAUUUGUCGUUUCACCCAUUG